rnacentral:rRNA from 1 species
AUGGCGACCGCGGCAGUUGCCGGCGCGGAGCAGCGCCAGCGUCACGCCGUGUUCUUCCCUUUCCCGGCGCAGGGCCAUGUGAAGGCGGCGGUCGGCCUGGCCCAGCUCCUCCACCGUUGCCAUGGCUUCCAGGUCACCUUCGUCCACACGGAGCACAACCGCCGCCGCCUCCUCCGCUCGCGCGGCCCCGGCGCGCUGGACGGGGUCCCCGGGUUCCAAUUCGCCGCCGUCCCGGACGGCCUUCCACCAUCCGAGGCGGACGCGUCGCAGGACAUGGGCGCCCUGCUGUCCAGCAUGGAGGCCUUGGUCCCGCACUUGAGGAGCCUCGUCUCCGGCCUGCUCCCGCCCGCGUCCUGCGUCAUCUCCGACGUCGAGCACGUCCUGUAUGGGUCCAAGGAGAUGGGUAUCCCCUGCGUCACCUUCUGGACGACCAGCGCGUUCGCCUUCAUGGCGUCCCAGCAGUUGCAGCGGCUCGUGGAUAUGGGCAUUGUCCCCCUCAAAGAGGCUGAGCAGCUGAGGAAUGGAUACCUGGACGACACGGUCCUGGACUGGGUGCCGGGGAUGCCCAGCGACAUCCGCCUCAGAGACUUCCCGAGCUUCGUCCGCACCACGGACCCCGACGACGCCAUACUCAAAAUCAUCCUGAACGCAAUGGCGUGCCACAGGACCACUCCGUCCGCCAUCAUCUUCCACACCUUCGACGAGAUCGACCGCGAGGCCAUGGCGGCCAUGUCCACCAUCCUGCCACCCAGCUACGCCGUCGGGCCACUGCCGCUCCUCCUCGGCCAAGUCUCUGGCGGCGGCGUGGUUGACACGACGCUGGAACCAGACCUGUCAAGGGUGAACCACGCCUGCCUGGAGUGGCUGAACGGCAAGCGGCCAGACUCGGUGCUGUACGUGAGCUUCGGGAGCAUAGCGACGCUCACGAGCAGCCAGCUGGUGGAGUUCGCGUGGGGUCUGGCCAACAGCAAAAUGGACUUCCUGUGGGUGAUCAGAGACGAUCUAGUGAGCGACGGCGACGGCCCUGCCGCCGCCGUGCUGCCACCGGAGUUCCUAGAGGAGACGAAAGCGAGGAGCCACGUGACGAGCUGGUGCCCGCAGGAAGCGGUGCUCCGGCACAAGGCGACGGGCGCGUUUCUGACGCAGUGCGGGUGGAACUCCGUCCUGGAGAGCCUCGGCGCCGGGGUGCCGAUGCUGUGCUGGCCCUUCGGCGCCGAUCAGUACACGAACGCAAGGUACGCCUGCUCCGAGUGGCGCGUCGGCUUGGAGAUCGGCGGCGACGUCAAGAGGGGCGAGGUGGAGGCAGCCGUCAAAGAGGUGAUGGAAGGGGACAAGGGAAAAGAGAUGAAGAGGUUGGCGAUGGAAUGGAAGGAGAAGGCUGCCAUGGCUGCACUGCCAGGUGGGCCAUCUUGGGUAAAUCUGGAGAAGGUGGUCAAUGAGGUGCUUACUGUGGCUCCUGGCUCCUGCAAGGAGUAG